GACAGAGGGUGCAAACGUUGUUCGGAAUUACUGGGCGUAAAGCGAGUGUAGGCGGUCUGAAAAGUCGGGUGUGAAAGCCCUGGGCUCAACCCAGGAAGUGCACUCGAAACUGCCAGGCUAGAGUAUCGGAGAGGUUGGUGGAAUUCUCGGUGUAGAGGUGAAAUUCGUAGAUAUCGAGAGGAACACCGGUGGCGAAGGCGGCCAACUGGACGAAUACUGACGCUGAGACUCGAAAGCGUGGGGAGCAAACAGG
rnacentral:rRNA from 2 species